rnacentral:rRNA from 1 species
GACGAACCGUGCGAACGUUGUUCGGAAUCACUGGGCGUAAAGGGCGCGUAGGCGGGCCCGCAAGUCAGGGGUGAAAUCCCACGGCUCAACCGUGGAAGUGCCUUUGAUACUGCGGGUCUCGAGGGAGGUAGGGGCGUGCGGAACUUCCGGUGGAGCGGUGAAAUGCGUAGAUAUCGGAAGGAACACCGGUGGCGAAAGCGGCGCGCUGGACCUCUUCUGACGCUGAGGCGCGAAAGCCAGGGGAGCAAACGGG